rnacentral:lncRNA from 1 species
GGUUGCCACUGCUGGCUCCGGCAGCCUGCUUUUAUUCUCUUAUUUGGCCCCACCCACAUCCUGCUGAUUGGUAGAGCCUAGUGGUCUGUUUUGACAGGGUGCUGAUUGGUGCGUUUACAAUCCCUGAGCUAGACACAAAGGUUCUCCAAGGUCCCACCAGUGUAGCUAGAUACAGAGUGUCGAUUAGUGCAUUCACAAACCCUGAGCUAGACACAGGGUGCUGUUUGGUGUAUUUACAAUCCCUGAGCUAGACAUAAAGGUUCUCCACGUCCCCACCAGACUCAGGAGCCCAGCUGGCUUCACCCAGUGGAUCCCACACC